rnacentral:rRNA from 1 species
AUACGGAGGGGGUUAGCGUUGUUCGGAAUUACUGGGCGUAAAGCGCACGUAGGCGGACUGGAAAGUUGGGGGUGAAAUCCCGGGGCUCAACCCCGGAACUGCCUCCAAAACUUCCAAUCUAGAGAUCGAGAGAGGUGAGUGGAAUUCCAAGUGUAGAGGUGAAAUUCGUAGAUAUUUGGAGGAACACCAGUGGCGAAGGCGGCUCACUGGCUCGAUACUGACGCUGAGGCGCGAAAGCGUGGGGAGCAAACAGGAUUAGAUACCCCAGUAGUCC